rnacentral:rRNA from 1 species
UACGAGGGGGGCAAGCGUUGUUCGGAAUUAUUGGGCGUAAAGGGCGCGUAGGCGGUGCGGUAAGUCACCUGUGAAACCUCCAGGCUCAACCUAGAGCCUGCAGGCGAAACUGCCGUGCUUGAGGGUGGGAGAGGUGCGUGGAAUUCCCGGUGUAGCGGUGAAAUGCGUAGAUAUCGUAAGGAAGACCAGUGGCGAAGGCGGGUCUCUGGACAGUUCCUGACGCUGAGGCACGAAGGCUAGGGGAGCAAACGGG